UACGUAGGUCCCGAGCGUUGUCCGGAUUUAUUGGGCGUAAAGCGAGCGCAGGUGGUUUAUUAAGUCUGGUGUAAAAGGCAGUGGCUCAACCAUUGUAUGCAUUGGAAACUGGUAGACUUGAGUGCAGGAGAGGAGAGUGGAAUUCCAUGUGUAGCGGUGAAAUGCGUAGAGAUAUGGAGGAACACCAGUGGCGAAGGCGGCUUCCUGGUCUGCAACUGACACUGAGGCACGAAAGCGUGGGGAGCAAAUAGG
rnacentral:rRNA from 1 species